rnacentral:tRNA from 1 species
AAAAAUUUAGUUAAAUUAUAACAUCAGCUUGUCAAGCUGAAAUCAAUAUAAAAUUAUUAAUUUUUA